AACGAACGCUGGCGGCAUGCCUAACACAUGCAAGUCGAACGAGACCUUCGGGUCUAGUGGCGCACGGGUGCGUAACGCGUGGGAACCUGCCCUUAGGUUCGGAAUAACUCCCCGAAAGGGGUGCUAAUACCGGAUAAUGUCUUCGGACCAAAGAUUUAUCGCCUUUGGAUGGGCCCGCGUUGGAUUAGCUAGUUGGUAGGGUAAAAGCCUACCAAGGCGACGAUCCAUAGCUGGUCUGAGAGGAUGAUCAGCCACACUGGGACUGAGACACGGCCCAGACUCCUACGGGAGGCAGCAGUGGGGAAUAUUGUAAAAUGGGCGAAAGCCUGAUCCAGCAAUGCCGCGUGAGUGAUGAAGGCCUUAGGGUUGUAAAGCUCUUUUACCCGGGAUGAUAAUGACAGUACCGGGAGAAUAAGCUCCGGCUAACUCCGUG
rnacentral:rRNA from 1 species